rnacentral:lncRNA from 1 species
AAGGUGAACCAGCCAACUGCUCGGGUUGUCUCUGGACAGAGAAAACAAGAGGAGCCAACACCUUGGGGGCCAAAAGUUGUGAUGGCCCAGGCUGAUAAACCAACAGCCAAUGAGACCAGCUUCUUGGGAUGUUCAACCAAGGUAAUGACAACAAUAUAAAAAAUGAUUUGCAAAUAAGCAAUCAAUCUGUUCCAGGAUCAGUAUCUAGAAACAUUUACAUUUUUACUUCAUAAUUACAAUCAACAUAGUUUAACUGUUUUUAACAUGUUCUUGGUAAUAUCUACACACUAUGAAUUGGAAAUGUCAAGAAGGUUGGCUGAUGAACUUGUUGUGCUCAUUUUAAUUAUUUAAACUGAACUGAAAUAAAAGUUUUCUUUGUCCUUAAUUCUGUUCACCACAAUACACCAAAUGUCCCCUUUUCUAUGGCUUAUGAGUUUGCAUGUAGGGGUAAAACACAUUUUUUUAACAUUCGUAAUGUUUGUGAUUGCAGAUGACACACAUUGAGGACCAUGAGCCGUUUGAAGCAGCACCUGAGGUCACUGCGAGCAGUCAGCAGCAGAGCCCGCCUGAGGACAAUAGCCAGCUUGAAGAUCGUCAUGUAACACUUGGCAAUCAGAAGGCACCCUGUGAUUUUGCACCUGCCAGAGCUGCUACAUCAAGUCAUGUGACUUAUGACAACCCUGGGUGUCUUCAAGGAUCGUUUGACCAGAGCAGCCAGAUAUUCGGGGAAAAUGCAGGUAAGCAGUGUGCUACAAAUGGCAUAGCGGCGAUUAUGACCCACACCACCCAUUGCGUUCUCAAAUGGAAAAAAAAGAACAUUCAUCAUAUUCUAAAACAAGGUAAUGGCUUGUACACAUCUAUGCUAGAAAAUAAGGAAAUCAGUGCAGCCAAAACCAGUGGGCAUAUUUUCAUUUCCGAGUUACCCAGACACUGCAAAUUCAACAAUAAAUUAUUUAGUUUGGAAUAUUUUGAUACACUCACUGGAAGUCUUGAUCAAAAGGAUGAUUAUGACGCUCCUUUGCAAAACAUAGCCAUGCCUUUAGAAGAGGCUAUUCAGAAGACACUGCUGCAGACAGACACAUGCUUGCUCAACAUCCAAGGAAGUAUCUGUGCCGUUUUCAAGGUCGAAACUGCUUUUGCAGUUUUCGAUCCUCAUUCUCGUAGUACUUGGGGUUCGGUUUCACCGGAUGGAACCAGCAUAGUAGCGCACUAUGCUACUGUGUAUGAGUUAUAUGACCAUAUUAAGAACCUUGGCAAUUCCUUAUAUCAAAAUCAUCCACAUGCUUUUGAUAUCCCAAACAAGGUGUUUGAAGUCACUGGUGUGAAAGCUGUUGAGGUAAACUCACCAUUUACUGCUUUAACUGCACAGCCUGAAGCCAGCACUUC